rnacentral:rRNA from 1 species
GACGUAGGGGGCCAGCGUUGCUCGGAAUUACUGGGCGUAAAGGGUUCGUAGGCGGUGUGGCAAGUCGGAAGUGAAAUCUCCAGGCUUAACUUGGAGGCUGCUUCCGAAACUGCCGUGCUAGAGUGCGGGAGAGGCCAGUGGAAUUGCAGGUGUAGCGGUGAAAUGCGUAGAUAUCUGCAGGAACACCCGUGGCGAAGGCGGCUGGCUGGACCGCAACUGACGCUGAGGAACGAAAGCUAGGGGAGCAAACAGG